UGGGGAAUAUUGCACAAUGGGCGCAAGCCUGAUGCAGCCAUGCCGCGUGUGUGAAGAAGGCCUUCGGGUUGUAAAGCACUUUCAGCGGGGAGGAAGGCGAUAAGGUUAAUAACCUUGUCGAUUGACGUUACCCGCAGAAGAAGCACCGGCUAACUCCGUGCCAGCAGCCGCGGUAAUACGGAGGGUGCAAGCGUUAAUCGGAAUUACUGGGCGUAAAGCGCACGCAGGCGGUCUAUCAAGUCGGAUGUGAAAUCCCCGGGCUCAACCUGGGAACUGCAUUCGAAACUGGCAGGCUAGAGUCUUGUAGAGGGGGGUAGAAUUCCAGGUGUAGCGGUGAAAUGCGUAGAGAUCUGGAGGAAUACCGGUGGCGAAGGCGGCCCCCUGGACAAAGACUGACGCUCAGGUGCGAAAGCGUGGGGAGCAAACAGG
rnacentral:rRNA from 1 species